UACGUAGGGUGCAAGCGUUAAUCGGAAUUACUGGGCGUAAAGCGUGCGCAGGCGGUGAUGUAAGACAGGUGUGAAAUGCCCGGGCUUAACCUGGGAACUGCAUUUGUGACUGCAUGGCUAGAGUUUGGCAGAGGGGGGUAGAAUUCCACGUGUAGCAGUGAAAUGCGUAGAUAUGUGGAGGAACACCGAUGGCGAAGGCAGCCCCCUGGGUCAAGACUGACGCUCAUGCACGAAAGCGUGGGGAGCAAACAGG
rnacentral:rRNA from 1 species